UUGACAGACUUAUAUUUCCCGCCAGAACAGAAACUAAACGAUAAAUCCGUCGGUAUUGAUCUAACUUCAAAAGCUUUCUGUUACCAUCUCUCGGACAUAUACCGACGGUUUAUGUUGCUUUUCGUGUCUAAAAACUAAUCCUAAACAAAUAAAAAAUCCCAACCCUAAUCUUAUUUACCCUAAAACCAAAAUCCGAAAAACCCCUCCUCAGUUUUUUGUUCCCCUGCACCUUCGCUACGCCCGAUAGCUCUCUUCAAAGGAAAAAGGAAAUUGGUUUGAAAUGGCGAAACGCAAACGCCGAAAUAUUGUUCCUGCGAAUCGCAGAGCUGAAUCUAAUGUUCAACCUCAAAAGCAUCAAUGAAUGCCACCACAACAUGAACAGAAAUCUCUGGAGCAGCUUACUUUUGAAGUUCAAGGACCGAAUAAAAAAGGGCGUGGUGGUUGUGUAGGAGUGGUUGCUUCUUCGUCUCGGAUAAGGCUGGUCCUUCGCAUUUUCAAUCAAUGCAAAGAAAUGAAGAAUGGGAGGAAUUGAAAGCUGCGCUUCGAAGACUGAAUGAAGUUGUGAAGUUGAUUUUAUCUUCUUUUUUUAAAAGCAGUUUCCUGGCGAAGAUCUGAAUAAUCUAAUGUUUGCCACUUCUCGCUUGCUUAACAAAAAGGCACCCGAUGCUAAUAGUGCUAUUGAACCCUCUUCUUCUAGCAACAAUGAGAAUGAGUCCAUUCACCAUCACUCUAAUCAAAAUGAAAAUGGUAAGAUCCUCAUGCCUAUUGGAACGUUGUCUGUUUAAUUCGAUGUUGCAAUGCAAUGUGAGUUUCUACAGAAAUGGUUCGUGCACAAAUUUUAUUGAAACUCAGUGUUGUAACAUGAAUUUCGAGCCUUGCAUACUGAUUUUUAUUGGAUUGAUAAGUAAAAUAAAUGAACCUUAAA